AGCAGUCGCCACGGGAAUACGAAGGGGGCUAGCGUUGUUCGGAAUUACUGGGCGUAAAGCGCACGUAGGCGGAUAUUUAAGUCAGGGGUGAAAUCCCAGAGCUCAACUCUGGAACUGCCUUUGAUACUGGGUAUCUUGAGUAUGGAAGAGGUGAGUGGAAUUCCGAGUGUAGAGGUGAAAUUCGUAGAUAUUCGGAGGAACACCAGUGGCGAAGGCGGCUCACUGGUCCAUUACUGACGCUGAGGUGCGAAAGCGUGGGGAGCAAACAGGAUUAGAUACCCCUGUAGUCCCUGUCUCUUAUAC
rnacentral:rRNA from 1 species